CCGAGUUAGGGUCCUCAAAGGCCCGAUCUCCCAACCCUUUGCUUAUUAUACCUUGUGUUGCUUCGGUAGGUCUGGCUCGUCCUACCGGAGGACCGUAAAACGUCCUCUGGAGAGUGCCUACCGAUAGCCCAAACCAAAAACUCUUGAACAAAACAUGUAUUGUCUGAGUAAACAAAAAAAUUAAAGCA
rnacentral:misc_RNA from 1 species